CCCCUAGUAACUGCGAGUGAAGCGGGAAAAGCUCAAAUUUAAAAUCUGGCAGCUUUGCUGUCCGAGUUGUAAUCUAGAGAAGUGUUAUCCGCGCUGGACCGUGUACAAGUCUCCUGGAAUGGAGCGUCAUAGAGGGUGAGAAUCCCGUCUUUGACACGGACUACCAGGGCUUAUGUGAUGCGCUCUCAAAGAGUCGAGUUGUUUGGGAAUGCAGCUCUAAAUGGGUGGUAAAUUCCAUCUAAAGCUAAAUAUUGGCGAGAGACCGAUAGCGAACAAGUACCGUGAGGGAAAGAUGAAAAGAACUUUGGAAAGAGAGUUAAACAGUACGUGAAAUUGUUGAAAGGGAAACGCUUGAAGUCAGUCAUGUUGCCCAAGGAUCAACCUUGCUCUUUUGCUUGGUGUACUUCUUGGAUCGACAGGUCAGCAUCAAUUUUGAUCGAUGGAUAAAGUUCAGAGGAAUGUGGCAUCUUCGGAUGUGUUAUAGCCUCUGUCCGUAUACAUCGGUUGGGAUUGAGGAACUCAGCAUGCCGCAAGGCCAGGUUUUUAAACCAUGUUCAUGCUUAGGAUGCUGGCAUAAUGGCUUUAAUCGACCCG
rnacentral:rRNA from 1 species